AUAUCACCUGAUAACAUAUGAUCACUGGAAUUAAGCAAUGUGGAGCCUGGUCAGUACCUAGAUGGAUGAUCACUUGGGAAUACCAGGUGCUGUAAU